rnacentral:tRNA from 1 species
GCUCAGUUGGUUAAGCGUCCGACUCUUGAUUUUGACUCAGGUCACGAUAUCAUGAGUUCGUGGGUUCAAGCCCCACAUUGGGCU